rnacentral:rRNA from 1 species
UACGAAGGGGGCUAGCGUUGCUCGGAAUCACUGGGCGUAAAGCGCACGUAGGCGGCUUUCUAAGUCAGGGGUGAAAUCCUGGAGCUCAACUCCAGAACUGCCUUUGAUACUGGAGAGCUUGAGUCCGGGAGAGGUGAGUGGAAUGCCGAGUGUAGAGGUGAAAUUCGUAGAUAUUCGGCGGAACACCAGUGGCGAAGGCGACUCACUGGCCCGAUACUGACGCUGAGGCGCGAAAGCGUGGGGAGCAAACAGG